UAAGCUCAGGUCUGGGAAGCUACUUCUGUUUUGACUUAUGGGAUAGGUGUAUCUGUGCCCACUUAUGUUUUUUUGCUUGGAACUCUGAUCUAUGUCACAGCUUCAUCUCCAGCUGCAACACCCUCUACUCCUGACUGGACUGCCUAGAUGGACCUGGGAGCUGAUUCAUCACCUUGCCUUACCUCACUGGAUCUCUGUUGCUAUUACUGACCCUGCCCUGCUCACCAUGCAAGGUACUGCAGAAACUGAAUUCUGAUACCAUCCAUGAUAGUAAAAGCUUAUUCUCUUCCUCGGCACACAAUCUGAUACUGACUGCAAUCUUAGAGUGCCUAAGGAAGCAAUCAAAGCACCCUCCAAACAUGCUUAACUCACUGAGUUAAGAAUAUUGGAGCUGACAGAUGAAGUUGGCCAUAAAGGACAUUGCUUGGACUGCAUGGAAGUUGAUGGACAUCUUAACACUGUUUACUUAAUCAUCAGAAGGCUUACUGUUGUUGGUUGUCUGAAGAGGCUAUUUGACUGUGGGAAUUACUCAUUUGUCACAGGUAUUCUCUGAGUUUAUAUAACUGGCAGUUAUUUCUGCCUUCUGGCAGAAACACACUGUCAAUGAUUGAAUGAGCCUUCUCGCUCUUUUAAAGAAGACAGAAUUCUUCAACUACUGUAAGGCCAGUUUUCCUUCUAAUUAGCAUCCUGGCUCUGGGGAGGCCUGCAUUGGUAACGCUUUCAGAAGUUAAUGAAGCUAUUCUGAAAACAAUUCAACCUUCCAUGUAUAAGGCAGGUGCUUUUAAUAGAAACAAAAGGUCUUGUUUUGAUCAGGUAGAGCAUCCUCAUUUUCACCUGAGAAAUGACAGGUGUCCUUAGAAGAAUUAAAAUCUAAAUGUGUAAGGCUCAGAGUGGAAGAGCAAUACACUGUGCUUUUUAAUAUUUCUAGUAAGGAUAGCAGAUACCUAAUUAUACAGGUCUACAACUCA